rnacentral:rRNA from 1 species
AUACGUAGGGUGCGAGCGUUGUCCGGAAUUACUGGGCGUAAAGAGCUCGUAGGUGGUUUGUCGCGUCGUCUGUGAAAUUCCGGGGCUUAACUCCGGGCGUGCAGGCGAUACGGGCAUAACUUGAGUACUGUAGGGGAGACUGGAAUUCCUGGUGUAGCGGUGAAAUGCGCAAAUAUCAGGAGGAACACCGGUGGCGAAGGCGGGUCUCUGGGCAGUAACUGACGCUGAGGAGCGAAAGCAUGGGUAGCGAACAGGAUUAGAUACCCUGGUAGUCCAUGCCGUAAACGGUGGGCGCUAGGUGUAGGGGUCUUCCACGACUUCUGUGCCGUAGCUAACGCAUUAAGCGCCCCGCCUGGGGAGUACGGCCGCAAGGCUAAAACUCAAAUAAAUUGACGGGG